CAUAGCUCAGUGGUAGAGCA
rnacentral:siRNA from 1 species